rnacentral:rRNA from 1 species
CCUACGGGAGGCAGCAGUGGGGAAUAUUGGGCAAUGAGCGCAAGCCUGACCCAGCAACGCCGCGUGAAGGAAGAAGGCUUUCGGGUUGUAAACUUCUUUUAAGAGGGAAGAGCAGAAGACGGUACCUCUUGAAUAAGCCACGGCUAACUACGUGCCAGCAGCCGCGGUAAUACGUAGGUGGCAAGCGUUGUCCGGAUUUACUGGGUGUAAAGGGCGUGCAGCCGGGAAGACAAGUCAGAUGUGAAAUCCCGGGGCUCAACCGCGGAACUGCAUUUGAAACUGUUUUUCUUGAGUACCGGAGAGGUCAUCGGAAUUCCUUGUGUAGCGGUGAAAUGCGUAGAUAUAAGGAAGAACACCAGUGGCGAAGGCGGAUGACUGGACGGCAACUGACGGUGAGGCGCGAAAGCGUGGGGAGCAAACAGGAUUAGAUACCCGAGUAGUC